GGAAGCCGGUGAGAACCCGGCACGGCCCCGCCACUGUGUGAGGCCCGGCAAAGCGCCGGAAGAAGCUCGCUCGACACGCCACUGGAACCCUCUAGAAAGUUCUGGGAAGGCGAGCUGGGCUGCCUCGAGUCAGGAGAC
rnacentral:ncRNA from 2 species